rnacentral:rRNA from 1 species
UACGGGGGGGGCAAGCGUUGUUCGGAAUUACUGGGCGUAAAGGGCUCGUAGGCGGCCAACUAAGUCAGACGUGAAAUCCCUCGGCUUAACCGGGGAACUGCGUCUGAUACUGGAUGGCUUGAGGUUGGGAGAGGGAUGCGGAAUUCCAGGUGUAGCGGUGAAAUGCGUAGAUAUCUGGAGGAACACCGGUGGCGAAGGCGGAUCUCUGGGCCAUUACUGACGCUGAGGAGCGAAAGCGUGGGGAGCGAACAGG